UCCUCGGUCCCUUCUGACUCCGACUUGGACGCACUGCGGAGUUUUCCCGGCAUUAUUCAGCAGGAGCAGCUCAGGCCUACCGGCUUCCACAACCGCGUGCAAAGGAAAGAGAGCGACAGAGAAAGCCGACCGCCUCCCAGCCCGGCCUCGCUCGUCACUUCCGGAGCGGAGCGCAUCCGGCGGAAGUAGCGUACACCGGUGUGGCUGCGAUUCGCAUGGCUUUGGAUGGGAUCCGUCUGUGCAGCGUGGAGGAGAGAGCCGGCUAGAUUUGGUUAGCGACCUUGAAUCUGACCCUGCUUCUCCACUUCCCAAGUCUGGAAUUACCAGCCGGCAACAUUUUUCCACGAAAAGUCGUGCGAUAUGUACGCCACCUGUGGGAAAACUGAUGGGAGGUGACAGCUAAACCCAGGUGCCUGGUGAGCACUGGAAUUCAGGGACCAGCGAGAUACCUUGGUCCUGGUGACCUGAAUUUGAAAACAGAA
rnacentral:lncRNA from 1 species